CAGUGGCCUCCAAAUGGCGGGCGUCUUUUAGUGGCUGAGUUUGUUGAUCCCCAUGAAGUGAAACUGAAAGUGGAGGCUCCUCCUCAUUCUCCGGCUACACCAGUGACUCCAAGUGCUACUGCAGCUCCACUCUCGCAGCCUCAGCCCUCUCCCCGUCAGCAGGUUUCUAGGCAGCAACUUCCACCCCCACCUCCCCUUCCACCUCCACCACCUCUAUCCAACCCGCCUCUGGCCAAGGAGCGUGUUGCCCAUCUGCCACCGCCACCUCCACUAAUUCCAGAGAAACAUGACCCUCCAAUUGUUACUCUAGAUGAUCUCUUUCGGAAAACCAAAGCAACUCCCCGGAUCUACUAUCUUCCGUUGUC
rnacentral:lncRNA from 1 species